rnacentral:rRNA from 1 species
GUCCUGUAGAGAAGGGAUAGCCCGGCGAAAGCCGGAUUAUUCCCGCAUACGCUGUACGCAGGAAAGGGGGGGAUCUUCCGACCUCUCGCUAUAUGGGCGGCCGAUGGCAGAUUAUCUAGUUGGUGGGGUAAAGGCCUACCAAGGCGACAAUCUGUAGCUGGUCUGAGAGGACGACCAGCCACACUGGGACUGAGACACGGCCCACACUCCUACGGGAGGCAGCAGUGGGGAAUUUUGGACAAUGGGCGAAAGCCUGAUCCACCAAUGCCGCGUGUGUGAAGAAGGCCUUCUGGUUGUAAAGCACUUUUGUUCGGGAAGAAAAGGCUCGGGAUAAUACCCUGGGCUGAUGACGGUACCGGAAGAAUAAGCACCGGCUAACUACGUGCCAGCAGCCGCGGUAAUACGUAGGGUGCAAGCGUUAAUCGGAAUUACUGGGCGUAAAGCGUGCGCAGGCGGUCUGUUAAGACAGAUGUGAAAUCCCCGGGCUCAACCUGGGAACUGCAUUUGUGACUGGCAGGCUAUAGUAUGGCAGAGAGGGGUGGAAUUCCGCGUGUAGCACUGAAAUGCGUAGAUAUGCGGAGGAACACCGAUGGCGAAGGCGGCCCCCUGGGCCAAUACUGACGCUCAUGC